UACUGAUCUCUAUGAUUUAGAUGGUUUGAUUUGAGUUAAUGUAUGCUCAGUGUACAGUUUUUGAAUGCAUGCGUAUCAAGCGUCGUAUGCAACCGGAGCAUAAAAUAAAACUCCCAUGUAUAAAUUCCUCUAUUCAUUUUCUCACUCUCUGAAACUUUCGCGCCCAAAAGAUGAAGACUUCAACUGUCCAAACCCCUCAGAAAGCUGCCAUCCGUCGAUCAAAGGAGAAAUCCCACAAGGUGCGUUUGAAAUCUCUCUCUCUCUCUCUCUCUCUCAUUUCCCUUUACCAUUCGAAGAUCAUCGCAAAAUCCCUAAAUCCAGCUUUCUUAGUUGCAUCCGAAGCCGAUCCGAUCGAUACCCUUUCAUCUCAGAUCCCAUCUCCGCAAAAUCCCUCUCUAAAAGUAUGUUUCAGAUCCCAAUUCUCCAAAAUAUGUGUUGAAAUCCAUGCAAUCUCUCACGUUCGUAUGUCCCGUCUGCAGAGCAGUCCAAAACCCUCAUUUUCAUCUCCGUCGAAUGCAUCUAACCCCACCAAUGCAUUAGAAUCCUUCCCUACAUCGUCGAUUAUUGACGGGAAUCAAGGAUUUGGCGGAUCAGAGGUUUUCAAGAUGGAGAAUGUGGACAUUCAGGUGGCUGUCGAUUUAUUGCUCGCCGCUCGUUUCCAGGUCAUGAAUUCUCCCAAUAUUGAUCUCCGAUCGAAGAAGCCUCUGGAUUGCCUGAUCAAGAGCGUAAUCGAGCUGUUGGAUCGGCUGCCAGAAGAGCAGGACAGGUUUUACGGGCUUCUCCAAGCAAAGGUAUGGAUCGGAUUACUCUGUGUUUUCAUGUGGAUCGUUUCGGUGUCAAUCGUCAUGGAUCGAGAUGCCCGAACUAGGACAGGAUUUCCUGGCAUGCCGCCUCCUACAUGACGGUUUCUAGGGACGACACGUGUGUUGCAUGUGAGACGGAGGCCGAAAUGAGAUGAUGCAGCGGAAAAAAAAAGGGGUUCCCUUGUGGUUUGGAAUACUGAGGGGUUUUGAGGACUUUUAAAGAUGGAUAGCGUGGGAUGAAUGUUUGACUGCAGCAGCCAUAGAAUUAAUGGGAAAAUCCUAUAUAGCAGAAAAGAAGAGAUGCUCUUACAGUCUGUUGAUAAGGGAUUCUAAAAUUUGAUGAUGGGAGUGUAAAAUCUCAGAUCAUGGAUCAUUUGUUGUUCCACAUCUCUUAUAUUUGCAAGAGUAAUAGACAAGCCCCUCAAGAACAGUGACGAUUUUGUCUGGGCAAUCGAGACUCCACUUGCAGGGAAAUUCAUCAUCAACGUUGAGUUUCUCAAUUCGAAGAUUGCAGAUCCAGUAGUGUCCCAGAUCCGAAGGAUAAAAAGCCUCAACUUAUCAUACGUGUGUGUUCUUGAAGAAUUGGUAUUUAACCUUGGUGGUACACCAAACAAAUAUAUUCCUUUAUUGGAGGAAUUGCUAUAAAAUUCCCUUUAAGAUGACAUUUUAUUGUUUGAACACUCUUCUGAUUUUGCUGAAGCAAUGGCAGUUUCUUAUCAUAUUGUACCCAAUGGAUUUUGAUGUAUGGUUGCAUGUAUCUUCUUUCAUACCCUGCAUAUGGUUUCAUUUGCUAUGAUAUUGUUGACUUAGAGAAACUAAGCACUGGGAUGGUUCCUCCAUGUGGGUGCUUUGCACGUGACCUUUUCUCUGUGUUGAUGUUUGCUUGCCUUGAAAUUGCCCCUCCAUGACCUUUUUUAUGAAUUCCUAGGUGAGAAUUUGGGGUAGAAAUAUUGCUUCUUCUGCUAAAGACUUGGUUACAAAUCCUUUCUUAAAAAGCUAGGCAGUUCAUAUGAACUUAGAAUCUUUGUUUUUAUGAAAGAAUUUUUAUUUUCUUUUUAGUUGAAGUCAUCAGCCUGAUCUUUUUAAUUGGUUUGAUUAUUAGAAUCCCCUCAAAUGGAGUUCAAAAUAGCAACAUAUCAAGGGGAAAGGAAGUGUGUUUUGUGCUGGUGGUGAUGUUCUAAAUAUGACCCAUUUCAUAAUCACCAGUAGAUGUCUCUUUUCUAGCCUGUGACAAAUCCUUUAAUGACAAGAUAUAAUACAUUGCAAUAGAUAUUUUUUUUGGUGAUAUUAAGUCAAUGUACCGAACGUUCUAUAAAACUCAAUUUUAGAUCUUUGUUUGAUGAUUUUUACUCAAUUGCUAUGGACUACUUUCAUUUUUUGGAGAAUUGAACAUUGUUAAUGACAAUUGUAAUGUUUGGUUUUUUAAUUAAUCAAAUCAUGGGAGUUAAUGAUUCAAGAUGUUUAUCAGGCAGGCUAAAUCCAUUUUUAGUCUCAGUUUUGCCUCAGUUACCUAAACUGACACUACAACUCCCGUGGCUAAAGGCUUUAGCCUCAGUUGUUGAGAACCAAGGUUAAAA